rnacentral:rRNA from 1 species
AGUUCGAUCAUGGCUCAGAUUGAACGUUGGUGGGAUGCUUUACACAUGCAAGUCGAACGGCAGCACGGACUUCUUCGGUCUGGUGGCGAGUGGCGAACGCAGCAAUGAUCGGAACGUCAUAGCGGGGAUAUCCAUGAAAGCGGCUAUCACCGCAUACGCCCUUCGGGGGAAAGCGGGGACCUCGGGCUUGCACCUAUUAGAGCGGGCUGAUAUCGGAUUAUUAAAGUUGUGGGGUAACGGUCACCAAGGCGAUUGAUCCGUUGGUUUGAGAGGACGAACAUUGCCACUGGGACUGAGACACGGCCGGCUCCAUGGGAGGCAGCAGGGGGAAUUUUGGACAAUGGGGGAAACCCUGAUCCAGCCAUCCUGCAAGUAGCGAAGGCCUUCGGGCUAAAGCACUUUGGCAGGGAUAAACGGGCGCACGGGAGCGGUAUCCGCACUGACGGUACCGAAUAGCGCACCGGGCUAACCAUGCCAGCAGCCGCGGUAAUACUUAGGGGCAGGCAAGCGUUAAUCGGAAUUACUGGGCGUAAAGCGUGCGCAGGCGGUUCGGCAAGAAAGAUGUGAAAUCCCAGAGCUGAAUCUUUGGAACUGCAUUUUUAACUACCGAGCUAGAGUGUGUCAGAGGGAGGUGGAAUCUGAAGGUGGCGGUGAAAUGCGUAGAUAUGCGGAGGAACACCGAGCAAGUAGCAGCCUCCUGACAACACUGACGCUCAGCGGGACGAGCGUAGAGCAAAUGAGACGAUACACCGCACCAAUGCCUGAACGACAGGCCAACGCAUAUUGGGGCCUUCGGGCCUCGGUAGCGCAGCUAACGCGUGGUUGACAAGCCUGGGGAGUACGGUCGCAAGAUUAAAACUCAAAGAAUUGAUGUCGGGACCCGCACAAGUUGGGGAUAUGAUUAAUUCGAUGCAACGCGAAAAACCUUACCUACCCUUGACAUGUCUGAAUCCCGAAGAGAUUUGGGAGUGUCAGCAAGAGAACCGGAACACAGGUGCUGCAUGGCUGUCGUCAGCCUAGCCGUGGAGAUGUUGUUAAGUCCUGGCAAUCAGAGCGCAACUCCUUGUCAUUAGUUACAUGAAAGGGCACUCUAAUGACUGCCGCGACAAACCGAGGAAGGUGGAUGACGUUAUCCUCGGUGGCCUUGCGUGGUAGGGGCUUCACACGUCAUACAAUGGUCGGGAUGAGGGUCGCCAACCCGCGAGGGGGAGCCAAUCCCAGAACCCGAUCGUCCGGAUCAGGGUCUGCAACUCGACUCAGCAAGUCGAACUAGUAAUCGCGGAUCAGCAUGUCGCGUGAAUAUUGUCUCCGGUCUUGUACACCGCCCGCUUCAUCGCGAGUGGUUUUACCAGAAGUGUUAGUCAAUCCGGCAGGCGAUUAGCGGGAUUCAUGGGAUCAGUGAAGUCAACAAGGUAG